GCGCCCGUAGCUCAGUUGGAUAGAGCGGUAGAUUCCGGUUCUACGUCUGUCGGAGGUUCGAAUCCUCUCGGGCGCGCUA
rnacentral:tRNA from 4 species